CUACGGGGCGCAGCAGUGAGGAAUAUUGCACAAUGGGGGGAACCCUGAUGCAGCAACGCCGCGUGGAGGAUGGCGCAUUUCGGUGUGUAAACUCCUUUUAUAUGUCAAGAAAAUGACGGUAGCAUAUGAAUAUGCACCGGCUAACUCCGUGCCAGCAGCCGCGGGUAAUACGGAGGGUGCAAGCGUUACUCGGAAUCACUGGGCGUAAAGGACGCGUAGGCGGGUUGGAAAGUCAGGUGUGAAAUCCUACAGCUUAACUGUAGAACUGCACUUGAAACUUCUAAUCUAGAGUAUGGGAGGGGGAGAUGGAAUUAGUGGUGUAGGGGUAAAAUCCGUAGAUAUCACUAGGAAUACCUAAAGCGAAGGCGAUCUCCUGGAACAUUACUGACGCUAAGGCGUGAAAGCGUGGGGAGCAAACAGGAUUAGAUACCCCAGUAGUC
rnacentral:rRNA from 1 species